GACGAACGCUGGCGGCGUGCCUAAUACAUGCAAGUUGAGCGCUGAAGGUUGGUACUUGUCCCGACUGGAUGAGCAGCGAACGGGUGAGUAACGCGUGGGGAAUCUGCCUUUGAGCGGGGGACAACAUUUGGAAACGAAUGCUAAUACCGCAUAAAAACUUUAAACACAAGUUUUAAGUUUGAAAGAUGCAAUUGCAUCACUCAAAGAUGAUCCCGCGUUGUAUUAGCUAGUUGGUGAGGUAAAGGCUCACCAAGGCGAUGAUACAUAGCCGACCUGAGAGGGUGAUCGGCCACAUUGGGACUGAGACACGGCCCAAGCUCCUACGGGAGGCAGCAGUAGGGAAUCUUCGGCAAUGGACGAAAGUCUUACCGAGCAACGCCGCGUGAGUGAAGAAGGGUUUCGGAUCGUAAAACUCUGUUGGUAGAGAAGAACGUUGGUGGGAGUGGAAAGCUCAUCAAGUGACGGUAACUACCCAGAAAGGGACGGCUAACUACGUG
rnacentral:rRNA from 1 species